UCUACCAAUCUUUUAAAUAUUCAGAUCUUUUGCUGGCAUCUCGGCAAACUUGUUUGGUAAAUCUCAGUAAACCUAUGUCGAUUGCCGAGAUACCGGCAAAAUCGUAUGUUGCCGAUCUAGAUCAGCAAUAUUUUCUGCCGAGCUCAAGAAUCAGUUUUAAGUGUGUAGGCCAAAAAUUUAAAUCUUGUUUCGAUAUAUAUGAUAUAUUGUUUGUAAAUAGUAUUGGGAAAACAAAAUGAAUUAAAAGCGGUUCGUCAAAUAACUUCCUCCUAGUAAAUGGCCCACAGUGAGCAAAAAUGUUCAAAUGAAAAAGUUGUUCGAGGUCCCUCGGUGGAUUUUUUUGAUUGACCCGUUAAAUGAAAGCUUAAAACCUAUAUUUUCGAGUAAAGAAGAAUUUGGCGAUGCCUAUUUUUUUGCGAUAAUAUUGUUCUACCAGACACACCGUGAUUCAAGUUUAGAUGCAUUUCGCCAUACAAAAUUAAAUUGAUUUACUCCUGCUGAUCAUCUGUGGCUGCGCGCAAAGCGGGUAGUCCAUUAUUCUGGCAUGUAUAACAAAGUUCCAAAAAUGCAUAUUUUCUCUCAUUAUCAACUUUUAGCAAUCCAAGCACGUUCGGAAAUGUGCACCGAAACCUUUAGAAAUUAUAUCAUCGUAUUGAAUAUCCCUCAGUACUUAGGGAAACACAUGAAUAACUAACAAUGUACAUACCUUUUUGUGCAGGAUUACGCUGAUUGAGUACAUCUUGUAUUUCAGCUGGCUCCUACAGUAAAAUCAGUAAUGGACUACCCGCUUUGCGCGCAGCCACAGUUGAUCAGCAGGAGUAAAUCAAUUUAAUUUUGUAUGGCGAAAUGCAUCUGAACUUGAAUUACUUGAAAUACAAAGCUUUUACCGAAAAAAUAUUUGGUAGGCUUAAUAGUGGUCACUAUUGUGCACAACCACUACCAAAUAUUUUUUCGAAUAAUGUGUUCCACUUUGAAGAAUUUGCCUUUAGAUGGUAUUCGUCAUACAAUAUUUUUGCGAUUUACUUUUAGCGAUUUUUCGCGCAUAGAAGCUAGCGCCACAUUGGUCGAUGCGGAGAGUAGGAAAACAGCCGAUGUAGUUAAUUCAUUAAAUAAUAAUGCCGCUAAAAGUCAUCGACAAUCAUGCAAACGGCAAAAUUCAACAGCAUACAUCACCACCCUAAUGCAUCCGCGCUUCAUUUAUUUCCCCUUUUGUCUAGCAAACCUUUUCACAUGCUUGGCCAGUGGCCACACAACACAAUGACCACGACCAGUGGCUAAAUCUUCUUUGUUCUACCGCACGCGAGAAAAAAUCAAGGUCAGCGGCUGCACACAGAACUGCUGCAAGGCAGCGUUAGCAACAGCAACACUGCAAUGUUUCGUUUCACUUCAUUUUUUUCUCACACUUAGCACAAUUUGAAAUUAUUCAUCAAAAAUGCCUAUUUUCAAGCAUAAUUUUCUUUCACGCUCAGCAUCAUUUUUUUUCCACUUUCAGCCCACGCACGGCGGAAAGCUUCUUUUUUUUUCUUUCAUCGCAGAUCAUCAUUAGCAAAAUACAUCACUUUAUUUUUUUUUCUACCACUCAUUACUAAAUUUCACCAAAAUAACACGAAGCGAAUGAUCUGCAAAUCAAAUAACUAGCAAACUGUAGUUUUAUUUUUCUCCUCGUCGCCACUUGCGGUAACCGCGUCUGGUACGCAUGAGAGUGUAUAAUAGACUAACUGUUCUGCUGCGGUGCGGAGCACAUGGUGUGACACAAUGUGGGUGGAUAUGUGGCACGCGCAUGAGUGUACUGUAUAAAGGUGUAUGGUUAAGACACUCGUCACCACAGCAACUAAAGGCAAAUUUAUCGUAGUGGAAUACAUUACUUAUUCGAAAAAAUAUUUGGUAGUGGUUGUGCACAAUUAUUAAGCCUACCAAAUAUUUUUUCAGUAAAAGCUUUCUAUUUCAAGUAAUUCAAGUUUAGAUGCUUUUCAGUCUUGUGAAGUCUAUGAAGCUAUCAGAAUGAAUUAUCUACAUCGGCUGUUUUCCUACUCUCCGCAUCGACCAAUGUGCCGCUAGCUUCUAUGCGCGAAAAACCGCUAAAAGUAAAUCGCAAAAAUAUUGUAUGGCGAAUAGCAUCUAAAGGCACAUUUCUCGAAGGAGAAUACAUUAUUCGAAAAAAUAUUUGAUAGUGGUUGUGCACAAUGGCAACCACUAUUAUGCCUACCAAAUAUUUUUUUAGGAAGAGCUUUCUAUUUCAAGUAAUUCAAGUUUAGAUGCUUUUCGCCAUACAAAAUUAAAUGGAUUUACUCCUGCUGAUCAACUGUGGCUGCGCGUCAAGCGGGUAGUCCAUUAAUCUUAGCUGUGCCUAUGCUAUCUCCAAGAAAUAUUACGGUCAAAUACCAAUGAAUGAAUGGACUACCCGCUUGGCGCACACCCACAGUUGAUCAGCAGGAGUAAAUCAGUUUUAUUUUGUAUGGUGUGUGGUAACCGCGUCUUGUAAGCGCUACAGUCUGUUUAUAACACAGUCCCGCAAAGAGUGAAACCAAAUCUACCUAUCGAACUGUCAAAUCGGCUACCUAUCGAGCACGCCAGCAAAAUUGUGAAAACAAAGUCGGGCGAAGAAGAAGAACAACACUCAAAAUAAGUUGUCUUUGCGUGUCUCUAUAUAUACAGUCUCUAGUGUUAGCGUAUAAGCAGUAAGUGGAUGCGGGGAGUGCGGCACACUGCGGGGGGAUGGAGGUGACAGCCGGCCAGUUUGUUUAUGCUGCAGAACGCUACAGAAGCGUUGCUGCGCCGCAUCGGCAACAACAUUCUCAACACGGAUAACCAAUGUUGACAUAUUUCCAUGGCACUCAUAAAAUGAGUAAUAUUCCCCCAGGUUUAAAAUUUGCUCGUGCUCCCGCAUUUGUGUUAAUUAUGAAUACAAUGGUGAUUUCUUAACCAAAAGAGAUUGCUUUGCCGAAAAUUUUGCAAAAUAUUUUCGUGAGUGGGUGUACGAGCUAAUUUGCAAUCCGUGUAAGUAGCAAACACUCGAUGAGUGUCAUGGAGUUAGUCCGAUUUUAGUGCUGAGAAAGUUGAGCGUGCAUGGUUUCUGUGGGGUUGCUACGUUGCUAGGGCUGAAAGUUUUUGUUUGUCAUCUCACUAGUGAAAAAAAUUGAAUACAAACUUGCCAGCUGUCGUUAGGUUUUCCAAUAUGGCGGAUGGUGGAAUCUGACAUAUUGGAUUACCUUCCUUUUACUUACCUUGCACUUAGCUGUAUCUGGGUCCACAACCUCUUAGAGUAGGGAAAACGCGUGUAGCUUGUUCUACGGUAACUUAAGGAAUACAUUUAUUUUUCUGACAAUCAAAUUAUGACUACUUAGAUUAACUGAUUUCAAGACUACUUCGAUGUACUUCAACAAUCAUAAGCUCGGGGGAUUGACACAUGCCGCAUUAGAAACCGAAACAUCUCUGCCAGCAAAAAUCUGAUUGGCGCUCACCACAUGUUAUGCUACUUUUUGCGAAAACAAAAACAUCAAAUUUAAACAAUAACAUUGAACGGCCCACCGGUAGAACGUCUUGUAAAAUAGCUUAUCCAUUAGAACAGUAUGUGGUAUUAUUGAAUCGUCUACAGUACGGUCCGUGUAUGGUGUUCGUUAAUUAGGGGUAUAAUAUUUUUGACAUGAUGAAGAAUAUUAUAGUACUGCUAAACCUUCCUUUUGCAUCACGUUGACAGCAGCUCGCCGAUGCACUUUACGGUUUGGUGCAAAAAUGACCCUGAGGCCAAAGUAACCCUGCUGAUGAGAUGAGACUUUCGCAUUUGGGACGGCGGUAGCGCUGGAAAUGCUAUUUUCUCUUUUUUGUGUUGUCUCAUUUUAGCUCAAAAAAUGAGUGAUUUUUUUUUAGUUUACUAAAGUCACUAGUAAACAUAGCUAGAUUGCCGUACAAAAAUAUUGUGAAUUUCACGAUUUUGUGGACGCAGGAGCUGAUUUUGUCAAUGUAUAACUGUUACCGUAAACCGGGGUCAAAUUGAUCAGCGGGGUGAAAUUGAUCAUUCGGGUACUAGAUUGUAAUUCCAUACUAGGAACUCUUAAGCGUCGUUAUGAUCUUAAACUUUUUACGUUAUCUGGUUUGUAGCUGUCUAGAGAUGAGUGUAGACUUUUAAAUUUUUAGUAGAAAGUUAGUUUUGCCUUAUUUUUUCGAGGAAUUUGCUAUGUGUUUCACAUUUAGUUGAAAUCAUCGCUACUAAACAAUCGAUUGAUAAUAGGACUUCCCGUAAAUUCUCUGCUUUAACAUUUUUGUGGAACCUUGGUUGGGAAGUUAUGUAGCUAAUCAGAACAUGAAAUAGUUAUGAAAAAGUUCAUUUUAUAAUGAAAUAGUCAUUUAGUGUAAAGAAAUCACUUAUUUCAAAUGAAAUUGCCUACCUUUAGGCGUUUAAGGGGGAAUUUUAAAAUUUAAUUUGGCAUUUUAAGUAUUAAAUUCACUAGUUAAAAGAUUUUGAACGCUUUAUUCUGGUUUAGGAGAGCAAAAUUAAGCGGAGAAGAAAAUUUUCCUUUCCGACCGAUGCUUAAUUGUGUACUGAUCAAUUUCGCCCCAUUAUUACAUUUCCAAUUUUUUGAUAUUUGGAGUUAUUUAACUUAAAAUUCAAAUUUGUUGAACAAAAUUCUGUCACAUGGUUCCAUGGAGAUUCACAGCGUACUGGUUUUACAGAAAUUCUUUUAGCAAUAUUUGAAUGGACUACCCGCUUUGCGCGCAGCCACAGUUGAUCAGCAGGAGUAAAUCAAUUUAAUUUUGUAUGGCGAAAUGCAUCUAAACUUGAAUUACUUGAAAUACAAAGCUUUUCCCGAAAAAAUAUUUGGUAGGCUUAAUAGUGGUCACCAUUGUGCACAACCACUACCAAAUAUUUUUUCGAAUAAUGUGUUCCACUUUGAAGAAUUUGCCUUUAGAUGGUAUUCGCCAUACAAUAUUUUUGCGAUUUACUUUUAGCGAUUUUUUACGCAUAGAAGCUAGCGCCACAUUGGUCGAUGCGGAGAGUAGGAAAAUAGCCGAUGUAGUUAGUUCAUUGGCACUAAUGUUAUCCGCAAAAGUUGUUUUAAAGUGAUCAAUGGACUACCAGCUUGACGCGCGCCCACAGUUGAUCAGCAGGAGUAAAUCUAUUUUAUUUUGUAUGGCGAAAAGCAUCUAAACUCGAAUUUCUCGAAAUGACAAGCUUUUACCGAAAAAAUAUUUGAUAGGCACAGGGUACGAAAAACGGAUCACACCGAAAAACAAACGCUUUGUCCUAAGCGGUGCAUGUUGGUAACAAAGGUGCUCCGCAACAAACGUAUGUCAGGCGAUGAGAGCAAUAAAACAAACAUCGCUUGCCGUGCGUGUGCCGAUAUUUCGACUUUUCUGCUGAAAUUUUCGACCCACAUCAUUGAAUUCAUUAGCAUUUUGUUACCGAACAGUAACAUUUUGUUUGUAAAUGUUGAUGUGGGACGGUAGGGCAACAUGAUGUUCAGUUUUUCAACGAUUCAUUUGAAUGGUGUGG